rfam:Caprimulgus carolinensis contig61473, whole genome shotgun sequence.
UUGGGGUACGGGGAUAUGUACCCCAUGACUUGGUCAGGGAUGUUGGUUGGAGCUCUUUGUGCUUUAGCCGGUGUCCUUACCAUCGCCAUGCCCGUCCCCGUCAUCGUGAAUAAU